rnacentral:ncRNA from 2 species
CACAUGCUCCGGGGUCGGUGUAAGUCCGAACCGGCGGUGAGAGUCCGCGACCCGCGCGUUCAUACGCGUGGCUGAACCGGUGAAACUCCGGUACCGACGGUGAAAGUCCGGAUGGGAGGAGCACAGG